UCCGUAGGUGAACCUGCGGAAGGAUCAUUAUCGUAGGGCUUCGGCCCUGUCGAGAUAGAACCCUUGCCUUUUUGAGUACCUUUCGUUUCCUCGGCAGGCUCGCCUGCCAAUGGGGACCACAAAAAACACUUUGCAGUACCUGUAAUAGUCUGAACAAACAAACAAAAAUUAAAACUUUCAACAACGGAUCUCUUGGUUCUGGCAUCGAUGAAGAACGCAGCGAAAUGCGAUAAGUAGUGUGAAUUGCAGAAUUCAGUGAAUCAUCGAAUCUUUGAACGCACAUUGCGCCCUUUGGUAUUCCUUAGGGCAUGCCUGUUCGAGCGUCAUUUAAACCUUCAAGCUAAGCUUGGUGUUGGGUGACUGUCCGCUUCACUGCGGACUCGCCUCAAAAUUAUUGGCGGCCGGUACAUUGGCUUCGAGCGCAGCAGAAACGCGAACUCGGGCCCGUCGUAUUGGCUCCCAGAAGCUAUCUUCACAAUUUUGACCUCGGAUCAGGUAGGGAUACCCGCUGAACUUAAGCAUAUCAAUAAGCGGAGGA
rnacentral:rRNA from 1 species